GAACAACAGCUUGAGAGACAUGCAACAGAUGUAUGAACUGUGGCUGCAGCUUACCAAUCAGAGUAGACGCACAGAUGGCUCUGCUGUGACCCCGCCCCCAGAGGACAAGCAGGUCACCAUAACAGCAGAUUACACAGAAAGCAUGGGUGGCCGGCGGUUGUCAGACGGGGAUGACCUCUGAGUGUCGCCGUGUUGGAUUGCUGCAGACAGAGACAGGCUCACCACACCACCUACAACGCACCAGUCUGUCCUCUUACCAGUCUGACCUCUAGCAUCUAGCCAGCAGUGUGAGAGCAGACAGACACACAGCUGAACAGAUGACCCCCCCCCCACACACAUACAAAUGCAUUCACUCAACACAUGAUACACAAAUCACAGGCACCAAUUAACAUAAAGCUCUGUUAGGGAAAUACAGGGCUUGGCUUUAGUGUUUAGUUUUGCAUCAUGCUGUAGUUACACAGCACUGUUAGGUUCCCCUAUAGCAUAUUACACCACAGAAAUACCACAGACAGCUAGUUUUGCUCUGAUUAAAAUAGUUAGCUAGUAUUCUCUAGUCAGAGCAUCAGCGUCCACCAGGCACCUCUUUUUUUGUUUGUUUAGUUUCCUCACAGCACUGAAACACUCGUGGGUUGGGCGCGCUGGUCGCAGCUCUUAAAUGUUGCUUGGUGUGAAUUCAAAACUCAAUUGAAACUUGGCGCUCUUACACAAAAAGUUGAAAUUUUAAUGUUGGGGUGCCAAAAUUGUGAAGCCAAGCAUUGUCAAGGCUGUAGAAACUGAAAAGAGGUUCCUGGAGGACACUCCACUUUAAGCUGCAUAACAACCAAAUCUUGCUUUUCUUCCUUCAUGGGAAUAUAGCGAAAGGGUCAAUGAUUUUUUGGGAGAUGAAUCACUUUGAAUAAUUUUGUCUUUCCAAGAGGAGUUGUGCUUCCUUGUUAUAUUGUCUGCCAUAUUGGUGGAAUGCUAUGAAUGUAAUGCCUGCAUGGGCCUUUAAAAUGAGAAAAUUUAAAAUGUUCCUGUGGUCGUGGAAUGUAUGUAAUAAUGCUUACCUGCCCAAAAAACAAACUUGUGUAACAUUAUGUUUUUCCCCUAUUAUAGAUUUUUUUUUUUAAACAACUUCAUGAGUUAUAUAAUCUAAUCAUACCAGGUGUUCUUGCAUGGGGCGAACACAGAUGUACACACAUUGAAAUAUUAACACAUUGUUGCUGCCAGUCAAUGUCCAUUUGAAUCGAAGGAACUGCAUUUGAAAAAAGAGGGUUGAUUUGGUAAAAGAAAAUGAAAUAAAAUGUAAAAAUCUCAGCAUAAUAUCUGGGACUAAAGUACACACGACUAAUGAAUUGAAGUACUUAUCGCCAAAGUAAGAUGUGAAGCUGUUGUGAGAGGCUACAGAGAGGCAGCAGCACACAGAGUCAUGGCUAGAGCUGCUCCCAGCAGCAGGUCAGCUCAGACCGCACAUGUCCAUGAGGAAAUGAGGACCCCACUUAGACUGGAGCACAGUGAAAUUACUGGCAGUGCAGGAGACUUAAGUUAUGAAUUAAAGAUGAGGUUUGUAAUAAUGUUCAGACAAAUUAUAAUUUAAAGACUAAAAAGCUGAGAGAAAAUUAAGGAAAAGAUAAAAGAAGAUAAUUAAAAAAAAUAUAUUUAUAGUUGUUAGAAUAUUUGAGAUGAUUUGAAUGUAAAGCCACUUCUUCAGUGGAACUGGGGUCAUUGUUUCCAGUCACUCACAGCCUUCAGGUGGGGGCCUGUGUUUUUCAGAUCCAUUCCUGAUAGCUAAGGGUAGCUGAUAAAAUAAACCUUUUCAUCGCGGCACACCUGCUAGCUUGAGACAGGGAAAUGAUUCACACCACAUAUUGUGCCUAUAAACAACACAUCUACAUGUGACACAAACACACACACACAGGCAGGAUAUCUGUUGCUAUCUUAGUCUAGCCUUUAAUGUGGACGGAGACGAGACAGAGGUAUGUCUAUAUACAUACAUAUUAUACAUAUUUACACGUAAUGGUACACUACUAAUAAUUGAUAACUUAGUGGUUAAGGUUAAUAAAUAUAUAAACUGAACACGUAUUGAUUACAUAGAAGAACUUCUUGUUAUUGAGGUAUUGCUAUAUGACGUAUUGCUGAACUAGACGAGUAUAGUGUUUGUUUGUUUGUUUAUGAUUUUUAUUUUGUAAUUUUUCCUUCUGUGUGGGUUGUUCCAGACUGGGUUGGCUUGAAGGGACUGCAGCAGAGACUGAUUUGAGUUUCAUAUUCAGUGUGUAGAAAUGAUUUACCGAGGGUUAAAUCUUCACAUCAAAAAACAAGCAAGUAUUUUUGUAAAUUUUUUUUUUUUGUUUGUUUGUUUAUCUGGAGCGACCUCAGCUCAGCGCAAAAUAGGUUACAGGUUACACUCGAGCAGUACUGAGGUAGUCAGUGGGUGCAAAACAUUCAAACUAAAUGGAACAAGGAGAGAGUUUACAUAUAGAUGAGGUCAGAGCAGAGAAAAGUCUGUAUUUGUUUAGUGAUGUUCCAGCUCUGUCUGCUGUCCCUCCUUUAAGCCCAGUGGAUGCAUCGAAAAUAGAGAAAUGGUUGUGACACCAAGGGCUGCAGCGUCUUUAAUUAUCCCCCUCCUGAAAACUGACCGAAUUCAGACAGCUUGAGCUGAGCCUGAAAUACAGAUCUCAGAUCAGUUUUGCUGAUCACUCAGCUGUGGUUUUGGGGAUCGUGGAUAAUGAGCCUUUGUCUAGAGCAGCCCAGGUAUUAACUUCUUUGAGGGAUCGUAUUGCUACUUCUCUAGUAUUAUGAAUAUAAUGACUAUAAUGAUAUGCUAUCUAUUGACUAUUUCUAUUUCUCUUCUAAAUGCUAUUGAUAUAUGUAUGUUAAUUGCAAUGUAUAACUUUCUCUUUAUAUAUGUAUCCAUGUAUGAAUAUAAUGAUUUACAGUAAAUAUGCGUCUGUGUAUGCCAGAGGGCUGUCUGAGCUCUGUCUGGGAGGCACUGAGCAGAAACUCUGCAGCUUCUGAUCGUUACUGUAAGGGUCUUAAGUUGUUGACCUACAGGUGUUGAUGCCAGCUGCCACCAGCUGUAGUUGUCAGUAGCACAAGGUACUUUAGACAAUGUUUUCUGAGCUCUGACUGUAGGCUUUAGGAUAGUGUAGGAACUGGCCAGAGUAAAAAAAAAAAAAAAAAAGUAUAGUUGAUGAUUAAAGUAUAACUUGUCUUCGUGUGUGUGUUGAUCUAGAGUCAGAGCUCAUUGCCUGCGCUGUUUGUGUUAGUUUGAAGUGAUUCACCAGACAGAAGGACAGCUCUGGAAACAAAGGCAUACAUAGAGGCAUAUGUACUCCUGUAUACCGCCUUAUUCAAUAUACUACACCUAUAAGGUGAUACAUACUCCUAUUGUAUAAUCCUGCUUACGAUAUAGAGUAUAUGAUACCUGAUACCUAUUAUAAUACUUAGACACCCUUUAUAAGGUAAUUUAGAUAAGAGAUGGUGGAGCUAUUCUUUUUUUCUUGUGGCUGUGGGACCGUGUGCCGUGGUCAAUCGUUUCCAGUUUGUCAAGAAGUAAAGAAGUAGUUGUUAGGAGAGUGCCGCAUGCUCAUAUGCUCUUUACCAUUCAUAUUCUGUUAGUUCAGGAUAUUUGCCAAGCAGCCAAAGGUUGGUAGGUCUUAAUUUUGGCUGGAAAAGCUGUGAAACAAAGACAAUUUGGAAUUCAAUGUACAAAUUUGGCCACAUUAUAUGUAUCAGUGUGACCAGUGAAGAAGAAGUUGUCCUUGUUUGAGUCCUAUCUUUAAAGAUCAGGUUUUAGCGAAAACAAAAAGCAGAGCAUUUGACAGGAGGAGGCUCCUU